rnacentral:rRNA from 1 species
UACGGAGGGGGCAAGCGUUGUUCGGAAUUACUGGGCGUAAAGGGCGCGCAGGCGGCUGCUCAAGUCAGGCGUGAAAGGCCUGGGCUCAACCCGGGAAUUGCGCUUGAGACUGGGCUGGCUUGAGUGCGGGAGAGGAUGGUGGAAUUCCCAGUGUAGAGGUGAAAUUCGUAGAUAUUCGCAAGAACACCAGUGGCGAAGGCGGCUCACUGGCCCGGUACUGACGCUGAGGUGCGAAAGCGUGGGGAGCAAACAGGG